AGAUAAUAAGAUGCGAGUAUGACGGAAAAAAAAAUAAGAAAGAAAAACGAUAAAACAGAUCCAGAUUUGGUUUCCUCUCUCGUUCUCUUCCUCUCGUGCAGACACACAGAGGACCUCAUUCCCUUGUCAUCUUCCUCCGUCUUCCUCUUAGGGGUGGGCUAAGACAUUUGGAUACUGGCCAACAUAAACCCUAACUUUCUCUUCCUGUGGAUUGAAGUUGGCUGCGUUUGAGUGUUCGCAGCACGAGCACCGAAAGUGACUCUGCAGUGCAUCCGUAAUCAAUCUCAAAACACCUGCAAGUAACAUUAGCUACUGCUUUCAACACAUGCACAAGCACAAACACAGAUAGAGAGAGCAGCAUAAACACAAACACAGCUAGAGCCUUGGGACUAAAUGCUUUCUUGGGGGUGGGUGAGUGGGAUGGAAGAGGUUGGCAACUAGUGAGCAUGAGCCACUGUAGGAGUCUUCUAGAUCUUUACAGACAUGGUUGGGGCUUCUUUGCUUCGCUUUAUCAGAGGUAAAGAGUACAGAGUUCAACAUGUGAUGAUGUGAAGGAAAAAAAGCCCAACCCUUCAAUUUAUCUUGCAGCCGCCAAGGUAUUUCAAAGGUUCUGAGCUUCUUGUUGAUUUACAAGAUUAUGACUAUUCUUUGGACUUGUGGAAUCUUGGUUGUAUGUUUCCUGGAAUGAUGGCAAGGAGGUUCAUAAUUUGAUACCAUGUCAAGAAUUGAACUGCUGUCUUGUGAUGCUUAUGCAUGAGCCUUGUUCUAUACAAAUAUUUAGUAAGAAGCCAUUUUUUUAUGGACGUGAUAACUAUGAUCAACUAGUGAAAAUAGCAAAGGAGGCUUGCAACAACACUAGAGUAAUUGGUUCGUGAAGUGGAUCGAGGAAGAUUCCUGCAAAGUUUAUCUUGAAGUAGAGCAAAAUAACUAACUUGUAAAACUCAAGUAUCUUGUAAACUUUGGUAGAAGCUUCAUUCAUGAGGAAAAUUAAAAUGUAACAUUUCCUUUUAUGUUAGGGUUUAGGGUUUAGGUGAAGGUUUUAUGUCCCCCUCGCAGUACAAUCUUCUUCAUAAAAAAAAAUAAAUAAAUAAAAAAGCUUUAUUCCUUUUUGUAUA